UGGUCGGAUUGACCCCGAUCAGUGCCGCAGCUAACGCAUUAAGUUCACCGCNUGGGGACUACGGCCGCAAGGUUAAAACUCAAAGGAAUAGGCGGGGGCCCGCACAAGCAGCGGAGCGUGUGGUUUAAUUCGAGGCAACGCGAAGAACCUUACCUGGNUUUGACAUGCACAGGAAAUUUUGGUGAAAGCCAGAACCUCCCGCAAGGGACUUGUGCGCAGGUGGUGCAUGGCUGUCGUCAGCUCGUGCCCGUGAGGUGUUGGGUUAAGUCCCGCAACGAGCGCAACCCCUGUCCUUAGUUGAAUGUUNCUAGGGAGACUGNCCGGGCGAAACCCGGAGGAAGGUGGGGAUGACGUCAAGUCCGCAUGCCCUUUAUAUCCAGGGCUACACACACGCUACAAUGGCCGGUACAACGGGUCCCGACACGGCGACGUGAAGGCAAUCCCUUAAAGCCGGUCUCAGUUCGGAUUGCAGGCUGCAACUCGCCUGCAUGAAGUCGGAGUUGCUAGUAACCGCAGGUCAGCACACUGCGGUGAAUACGUUCCCGGGCCUUGCACUCACCGCCCGUCACAUCACUUGAAUCUGUUGCUCCCGAAGUCGCUGGCCGAACCCGUAAGGGACGGAGGCGCCGAAGGAGUGGCCGGUGAGAGGGGUGAAGUCGUAANCAAGGUACC
rnacentral:rRNA from 1 species